UGGGGAAUAUUGGACAAUGGGCGAAAGCCUGAUCCAGCCAUGCCGCGUGUGUGAAGAAGGUCUUCGGAUUGUAAAGCACUUUAAGUUGGGAGGAAGGGCAGUAAGUUAAUACCUUGCUGUUUUGACGUUACCGACAGAAUAAGCACCGGCUAACUCUGUGACAG
rnacentral:rRNA from 1 species